rnacentral:rRNA from 1 species
GACGAACGCUGGCGGCGUGCUUAACACAUGCAAGUCGAACGGAAAGGCCCUGCUUUUGUGGGGUGCUCGAGUGGCGAACGGGUGAGUAACACGUGAGUAACCUGCCCUUGACUUUGGGAUAACUUCAGGAAACUGGGGCUAAUACCGGAUAGGAGCUCCUGCUGCAUGGUGGGGGUUGGAAAGUUUCGGCGGUUGGGGAUGGACUCGCGGCUUAUCAGCUUGUUGGUGGGGUAGUGGCUUACCAAGGCUUUGACGGGUAGCCGGCCUGAGAGGGUGACCGGCCACAUUGGGACUGAGAUACCGCCCAGACUCAUACGGGGGGCAGGAGGGGGGAAUAUUGGACAAUGGGCGGAAGCCCUAAGCAGGAACCCCGCGGGCGGGAUGGCGGCCUUCCGGGUGGAAACCGCUUUCGCCUGUGACGAAGCGUGAGUGACGGUAAUGGGUAAAGAAGCACCGGCUAACUACGUG